rnacentral:rRNA from 1 species
GACGAACGCUGGCGGCGUGCUUAACACAUGCAAGUCGAACGGAAAGGCCCUGCUUUUGUGGGGUGCUCGAGUGGCGAACGGGUGAGUAACACGUGAGUAACCUGCCCUUGACUUUGGGAUAACUUCAGGAAACUGGGGCUAAUACCGGAUAGGAGCUCCUGCUGCAUGGUGGGGGUUGGAAAGUUUCGGCGGUUGGGGAUGGACUCGCGGCUUAUCAGCUUGUUGGUGGGGUAGUGGCUUACCAAGGCUUUGACGGGUAGCCGGCCUGAGAGGGUGACCGGCCACAGUGGGCCUGAGAUACGGCCCAGACUCCUACGGGAGGCAGCAGUGGGGAAUAUUGCACAAUGGGCGGAAGCAUGAUGCAGCAACGCCGGGUGCGGGAUGACGGCCUUCGGGUUGUAAACCGCUUUCGCCUGUGACGAAGCGUGAGUGACGGUAAUGGGUAAAGAAGCACCGGCUAACUACGUG